rnacentral:lncRNA from 1 species
CUAGGCCUGUCGAUGAUGGAAUUUGUGGAUCAAGCAUCAGAGAAGGUUGCUGAAUCAACUGAUUAAUGAAACUGUCAAUUGCUGCAAGAACAAAAUGUUGUCAGAAGCUAGAUGAAGUUAAAGGCAGGAAACACCACAGGUAUCACUUUAUGUCUGCACAAAGAUACACUCAUAAUACGUGUGAUAUAAAAAGCAAAUUCAUGUAAAUCUGCAAUCAUAACCAUAAAGCUGAAUGUGUCUUCCUUUCAUUUAAAAGAGCAUAUGAAAGUUGUAAUACUGAACUAGUUGCAUCAGAUGAACUCUGCCUAAAAUCAUGAAACAUGUGAUUGAUAGGUUUAGUGCAGAAUUAGCAAACUUUAGAGCAGAAUCUCUAGAAUGAACAAUGAUACUUUAUAAUUACUCAAGAAUAAACAUGUCAAAUAUUUUCUAAAAGAGGUUUAUUUCCUGCCAUGUACCUGGUGAUCCAGCUGAAUUUUUUUCCAAAUUAAAUGUCAGUGUUUCUGCCAAUAUGUUAUUUAAGUAAACUUUGCUGCAAUAACUCUCAAGAUCCUGUCCCUUUUGCAUGAAUGCUACCUCAGCAUCUUGAAGGAGCAUGUCAUACUUUUUACAUAUUUCUUCUAUCUCUUUAUCACACUCAGACUUCAGCCGUAAUAUCUGCUCAAUUGGGAAAGAGAUGCAAUAAUGCUCACAUCAUUUAGUUGACUAAACAUGACAUCAAAAUUUAAAAAGAGAAACUAAAUUCAUCUUGCACAUACCGUAUCUUCAUGUAGCUUCAAAGUUUGCUCCCUAAACUUUUGUAUUCUCUCCAGCUCAAUGCGAAGUGGCUUUGAGCAAGCAGGCUGAGGUGUCACACUCACAGGUCUCACAAUGUUGACUUGACAAGGAUAAUCGUUUGGAGAUCUUAAGAGAGUAGUUGUGCUCCUUUGGUUCUCAAUGCACAUUUGACUUUCACCCACAGGUGUACUUGCAGAUGGCUGUUGCGGCACAAGUGUAACUGAAUGCAUAACAGGAGGACCAGAUGAUUCAUCCAGUGGGACCUCUAAUAAUGGUUGUCUUGGAACUGGAGCCUCUUGACACAAAGCAUGCUGAUUGCUGCUGAGAAGAUGUUGCAUCCCAGAUGCAGGUAUAGUAGAUAUACUGCUCUCAGAGGAAGAUGACCUUAUAUGAAGUGGUAAGGAGACAGCUGUCUGCAAUUUAAGAUUAGAACAGAACAAUUAGCAAUUAAAGGCACCAUUUAUCAAUGAAUUUAUCAAAAAAUACAUCUGCUGGAACUUUAAACUUUUACAUGACCACACCUAAUUGAGUAAAGUUUCUAGAAGUUCUGUACAGCCCUAAUUAAGAUAAACAGUCUUUCUCUCUCCAUAUGCAUGUUGGACAAAGGGGGGUAUUUAUCAAUGAAUUUAUUCAAAAACUAUAAUUGAUGGCCGUAACUUCUUUUUUUUUUUUUUUACAUACAGGAGAUUGGAUAAAAAUAUACACAAAAAUCAAUCUAGUCAUCUGACCUUUUCUUACCUCUUGGCAUAGCAAUGAAUAUGAUUCAACAGUGUUAAUAUCUGCCUCCACCAAGGAUUGGCCAGUCCCAGUAAACUCCAAAGCAUUCAAGUCUCCAGUGAGAUGAGUAACUGCACUAUCGUGCUGACUGAUCCUUGAAAGAGUUGCUCUUUCUAAGGACACUGCAUCUGUUUCGUCACUUUCUUCAUCGGGCUGGGUAGCAUUGGUAGUUUUCACAAGGUCAUUGCCUGUAACCAUUGCAUUACAUUGGGCUUGGGGAACUUCAGAAGGCUCUGUUACAAAAUCAGUAGCCGGCAGUCUAACAGGACUUCGGUGGUGUCGAGAAUCUGAUAUAAGGGCAUGAUCUUUUGGUUGAUCACUGGGACUACCAAAAACAGUUGCUCUUUCUAAGGUCACUGCAUCUGUUUCAUCACUAUCUUCAUUGGGCUGGGUAGCAUUGGUUGUAGUCACAAGGUCAUUGCCUGUAACUAUUUCAUUACAUUGGGCUUGGGGAACUUCAGAAGGCUCUGCAAUAAAAUCAGUGGUCGGCAGUCUAACAGGACUUUGGUGGUGUCGAGAAUCUAAUAUAAGGGCAUGAUCUUUUGGUUGAUCACAGGGACUAC